ensembl:lncRNA
GGGGGGGGGGGGGGGGGGGGGGGGGGGGGGGGGGGGGGGGGGGGGGGGGGGGGGGGGGGCCCGGCCCGGCUGCCCCUCGUGUCCGGCCUGAGAAGGCGCUGGGGGUCACCAGUGCGGUCAAAACCGGCUCCCCUUGUCAGGCGCCGUGUAAACACGAGGUUUAUACACGAGGUUUAAACACGACCGGACCGUUAAAAAGUGAGCGUGAGGAGAACUUUCCAGGCGAUGUGAAACACAGAUAGAACAUUUUGCUCCCUUUUGGUGUAGCUGGAGACUCAGAUGACCUAGCAGAAACUGAGAAAAUUUGAGAGAAGAUGGGAGAUAGCCGUCUGCACUCCUGAUUUUUCCUGCAUCUGCUGUGGACUGAACUCACAUAUAUUACAGCCUCUUGAAAGCUGAUGAAGAGGUAAAAUGGCUGGAGGCAAGCUGGCUGUUGGGAGUUCUGAUUCUUGGGUUGACAGUGUGGAGUUACAGGAUAAACACUUUGGAGUAAGACUCUUCUGCUUAUAGGAUUGGGCGUGAAGCUAUUGCAAAUUAGAGUCUGAGUAGUAACUGCAACUUGAGAAGAAUAGAACCAUAAUUCAGCUAAAUUGUGAUGUCUCCAGAGUGUGGUAUUUCUCUGCUGUCUUGAUCCUAUUUCUCACAGAAGGAAUUUAUGCUUCACUUGAAUCUUGCCCAUUUUGCAAACCUGUGUGGACGCCUUUGGAUGUGUGGUCCAGAGGACUUGCCCGCAGAGCAAACCAAGUGGUCUGAAGGAACAGCAUCACAGCUGGACACAUUUUCUGAGGACUGCACAUUCUUUACUGAGGACUCUGGGGCUGUAACCUUGUUAUUUCUUUACUUCAACUGGAAUAUUCCAGUCUACUGACACUUACAAGUUUCUUUCCACUUGUCACUCAGUCAGUCAUAUUCAAGGAAACAAGAUUCCUCAUUCAAGAGCUUUGUCUCAAGUAAUCUCCUUACUCAAACACUGAAUGGCACCCUUGAAAUGGCUGAUGGAAAUGGGCCAUUUCUUUAUUUAAUGAUCAAUCCCCUUGUCUCUCACAUCAUCUUGAUUUCAUACAGGUUGAAAAGAAACAAAUGUUUCCAUAGGACUUCAGCCUGAAUUUUUCCUAAGAAACUUGAUUUCUUUGAGUGUCAAGCUCCCUUUGAAUAAUGUUUUAAUGGAUCAUUAAGAGAAAAGAGACUAAAAUCUUAUCCUGUUGCUCUGAUUAAUUCAGUAUCUAUCAGAGAAAACUGCAAAUCAUUCCAUAAUGUCUCAAAAAGAUGAAAAUAUUUUUAUUAUCUUACAAUUUAACAAAUAUUUAACAGAGAUGAUGAAUGUUCACCUGGAGCCUGAACCUACUUUCACAAAAUUUAGAUUCCUAAGUCAUCCAUUUUGUCUGUAAAGUUACUAAUGUGAAAAAAAUUAUUGCUGUCACAAGAGGUACACUAACAACUUUACCAUUAAUAUUCUUAUUAUUUUCUUACAAAAUAAUUUGUUACAGUGUCAUCCAGGUUUUUGCCUUCUGUAUCUAUUCAGAGUCCUAGAUAUUAACAAAAAGGCAACACCAAACAGAAACUCAUUUACUCUCUUGCUAUCCAAACACUGUAUCUCUGAAAAGGACUGUAUCUUAUAAAAUAUGGAAUCAAGAAAGUCAGUGAUUGCAUCAUAUUUAACCUGUUUUUGCAGAGAUGCAAUGAGGAGCUGGUCAAAUAAAAAACUCACAGCAUGGAAACUUAGCAUAAACUCGAAGGAAAAAUCAGGUAGUCAGAUAUCUAUACACUAAUACAUAUGCAGACAGAAUUAGUUAUGAUGGUUUGCCCAUUUAAUGAUUCUCAAAGCUUCCUUUAUUUUGUAGCUUCUUACAGUCUUAAAAAAAAUAAUCAAGAAAGUCAGUGAUUGCAUCAUAUUUAUAACCAGAGUAACCUGUUUUUGCAGAGAUGCAAUGAGGAGCUGGUCAAAUAAAAAACUCACAGCAUGGAAACUUAGCACAAACUCGAAGGAAAAAUCAGGUAGUCAGAUAUCUAUACACUAAUACAUAUGCAGACAGAAUUAGUUAUGAUGGUUUGCCCAUUUAAUGAUUCUCAAAGCUUCCUUUAUUUUGUAGCUUCUUACAGUCUUAAAAAAAAUCUCUUGGCACGUUUCUCUAAAUAACUAAUUUUCUUUCUGGGAAAAAUAAAGAAGAAUUAUACAUGCUACAAAUACCACAGUCAAGAGAAAUAUUACUUGUAUAGCCCAACUGUGAUGUUCUGUAGCCAUUUUAUACAGGUUUUAUCUUUCUUUGAUAAAAAAGUCUCUUAAAUGAACGUUACCACAGCAUGGUGCAAUAUGACUUACAAAAAAACCAAACAAACACUGAAAGAAAAAGAUACUAGUUGAAUUUACAUACUUAGUAGUCUACCUUCAUCCAUUUUUUAAAAAGUAUAGGGGUUAGUUCCUCCUGUGUCAUAAUCAUUAUGGUAUGUUAGUCACCUUGACCCAUCCACUUAAUUUGGAUAUGUCUUGUUAGCAUUAGAACUUCCAUAUUAAAAUACCUCUUUACAGUUAUCAACAUCCAAGACCAGGAGCAAAAAGUCAAACCAAUUGUCACUGGAUCUUAAUAUUUCAAUCCAAUAUGAUGCAGGCAAAUGGAAUUUAAAAUGUCAUAAUGCUUGUAAAAAUAUGGUCUCACUCUAGCCUGCUCCACACUAAGGCUCUUCCCAGUCCAUACUGGUAAAUCUUUACAGAGAAAUUACUUGAAAGAAAAUUCUAGUGUCAGCAUAUUUGAGUAGAAUCUACUGUCUGAGAGAGCAGUCCUCUUUAUUUUUUUUUUUCAAUCCCUCCUCAUCAAAUAGAAGGAGUAAUUUCAAAUAAUUCCCUUAUGAACUAUAAGCUUGAGUGGGAGCAAGGGGUACAGAAAUAAUUUCCCUGCAUAAUAUGACUCCCCUUCUAACUUCAAUAUUUCAUGGUCCCUUAAAUAAGAUGACAUUCAACCUUCCAGGUUAAUCUCCUAGGUCUCUAGAUCAGAGGCUGCUGGUGCUAUUGACUGGUGCCAAAGUACAUGUGAUGGUUUUCCUGAUAGACUCAACUGUCUGCCAGGGGCUGAGCUGAGGCCACUAAACUAAUUUCAUGUUGGAAUUCAGGUUUAAGUCAUUUUUAAACAACAUUAACAUAUUUCAUAUAUUUUCUCUCCAAAAGAAGAAAAAAACUCAAACCCAUGAGAGGCUAAAGCAGAAUAGUUUCUAUAACUUAAGGAUAUAAGGUAAUCUUAAAUAAGAUAAAUGUAUGAUCUGCCUAUGACUUGCUGUCAAUUACAGAAUUUAUUCCAUAUCAGAAGAAACAAGUUUAAUAAACCACUUAAGUGUUACAAGGUAUGUUUUCUACCAACAUGAAUUAUGUAUCUAUCUGCAACCAAAUGUACGUGUUCUAUCACUCUGAAUAUUAAAUACAAAAACCAUGUUUAAAUAAUGUGAGGGGUCUGAUUUAAGGCAACAAAAGCCAAUAAAUUCAAAGUUUAUGCUGGCACUCUAUCCUUAACUCACACAAAUUGUUUCAAACAGGUAUAAUGGCAUGAAUUACACCCCUCUUACGUUUAUGUUUCUACUACCAUAUUUGAAAUUUCUGAGUUCUGUCUAUACAAGUCUUCCAUGAGUGUCCUUAAAUAGAGUUCUAAAAUGUAAUUUAUUAGCUUUGAUUCUAUUUUUUAAGGCAAAAAUAUGCCUUAUGGAAAUCUAAAAAGGCAAUUUUUUUUUUGGUCUGAGAAUGGAAUAGUUUUUUUAGAGCUGUUUUAGUUUGUUGAAUACACAAUCCAAAUGCCUAAAAUAUGUAUUAAUUACUAUGAACUUAAUAUUAUUUGAAAAAUAGAUUGUAUUGGGUCCCUCAGAGCUUUUCUGAUCUCUUGGGUCCCCAUAGAUCUGGCCAGAUAUUUAGUGUGCUCAUUAAAUAAUAAUUGUUAUAAAAUUUGUAGAGUCCUAGCAACAUAGACAGUAGCAAAAUGAGUAUCUGCAGUGUUUUCUUCAAAUACUGUGUUGGGUUUUAGCUGCUUUGCUGUUUCUGUCUUUUUAUAUGUGAUCAUAUAACUGUGAAUAGGACUUUCUGAACCCCAAGUAAAUUCUACCCAAAUAGGAUCCACCUGAGAAUUGCAUGUAAAAGUAUUUGGAGGAAAACAACACAAAUAAUUAGAAUAGUUCACACAAAGAAAAGUGUGAUUUAUAUAUCUAUGGCAAGGCUGUUAGAAGGAGUAUCUGUAAGUCCUUGGUGAAAAGUUGAGAAUGAAGUAAGGUGGCAAUCAACAGUUUUGUGUCUCAGUACAGCACACAAAUGUAAAUGUCAACAUGUAGGCACAGAUAACACAGACUUAAAAUGCCAUCUUAGUUGUAAAUUCGUCCAGAGAGGAGCAUGAAUUACAGUUAGGUUGGCAACAUAGAUCUAACUGUUAAAUAGGAGAAGUUCUGUACAAUAGUAUAAAAAAAAUCUCAGACUUGGAAACUACGUUGUAAGUUUCAAAAUUAUUUCCAAUGUUUUGGGAAAGUCACUAAAUAGUGUUCUCUCUAAAAUCUCUCAUCUGCAAUACAGGAAUACUUAGUUCAUUAGGAAAGUCUCAAAGUUUUGUUAUUGCUGCUGUAGCACAGAAAAUAUAUAUACUACAUGUAUGCAAAAUCCUACUAUAAUAUACUUAUUACUUUUCUCUUUGUAUGUAUGUAAAGAGGAGGUUUUUAGGUUUUUAUUAUGGAUAGCUGUUUCUAAUUUUCCAAGUAUUUUCCAGCUAGCUGAAGCCCUGAUGAGUGCUCUGUGUGCAUUUAUUGAGUUAAUUUGAACUGAACUAUUAAUGUGCUAGACUGCAAAUCUGUUAACUAAAGAAACCCCUUAAAAUUGCUCUAGUAGGCAGCCUCUUUCUAAUACAUGUUCAGAAAAAAAUGCUUAAUAUUUCUCUUCAAUUGAGUUACACAUCAAAUAUGACUUUCACUGUGGAAAUUUUUCUUCUUCACCUUAAGGUGAGAGAAUACAAAAGCACCAGUAAAUGUGGAAAUGUCUCAACACACAUUUUCAUAUUGUUAAUCAAAAUCAGUUUUAUUCUGUUUUUCUGAAGUCUUCGCAUCUGAAAUAUAUGUAAAUAAAC